GUUUAUUUAAUAUAAUAAGUAUAUUUGACUUCCAAUCAUAAAGUUUGUUAAUACAAAAUAAACA
rnacentral:tRNA from 1 species